rnacentral:rRNA from 1 species
UACGGAGGGUGCAAGCGUUAUCCGGAUUCACUGGGUUUAAAGGGUGCGUAGGUGGGCAAGUAAGUCAGUGGUGAAAUCUCCGGGCUUAACCCGGAAACUGCCAUUGAUACUAUUUGUCUUGAAUACUGUGGAGGUCAGCGGAAUAUGUCAUGUAGCGGUGAAAUGCUUAGAUAUGACAUAGAACACCAAUUGCGAAGGCAGCUGGCUACGCGAAUAUUGACACUGAUGCACGAAAGCGUGGGGAUCAAACAGG